rnacentral:lncRNA from 1 species
AGGGAUGUUAUUUUGGGCAGUGCAUCUGGACUUGGUUCAAGUGGCACCAGCCAAAUCCCUGCCUUACUGACCUCUCCCCUGGAGGAGCAGGAGCAGCGCUCAAGGCCGCCUUGGGAGGGCUGAGAGGCAGGCUCUGGACUGGGGACACAGGGAUAGCUGAGCCCCAGCUGGGGGUGGAAGCUGAGCCAGAGACAGUCACAGAGGAACAAGAUCAAGAUGCGCUUUAACUGAGAAGCCCCCAAGGCAGAGGCUGAGAAUCAGAAGACAUUUCAGCAGACAUCUACAAAUCUGAAGGACAAAACAUGGUUCAAGCAUCUGGGCACAGGCGGCAAAAUAACUCUCCAUGUGAUGACAGAAGGAGCACACACAAAAAAAACCCUCUCAGAAAUAUUAAAAUGGUUGCAGGUAAUUCAAAUGGUAUACUGUUUUAAAAGGU